UGGGGAAUAUUGCACAAUGGGCGAAAGCCUGAUGCAGCAACGCCGCGUGAGGGACGACGGCCUUCGGUUGUAAACCUCUUUAGCAAGGAAGAAGCGAAAGUGACGGUACUUGCAGAAAAAGCGACCGGCUAACUACGUGCCAGCAGCCGCGGUAAUACGUAGGGCGCAAGCGUUAUCCGGAAUUAUUGGGCGUAAAGAGCUCGUAGGCGGUUUGUCGCGUCUGCUGUGAAAAACCCGAGGCUCAACCUCGGGCCUGCAGUGGGUACGGGCAGACUAGAGUGCGGUAGGGGAGAUUGGAACUCCUGGUGUAGCGGUGGAAUGCGCAGAUAUCAGGAAGAACACCGAUGGCGAAGGCAGAUCUCUGGGCCGUAACUGACGCUGAGGAGCGAAAAGGGUGGGGAGCAAAACAGGCUUAGAUACCCUGGUAGUCCACCCGUAAACGUUGGGAACUAGUUGUGGGGUCCAUUCCACGGAUUCCGUGACGCAGCUAACGCAUUAAGUUCCCCGCCUGGGGAGUACGGCCGCAAGGCUAAAACUUAAAUG
rnacentral:rRNA from 1 species